rnacentral:lncRNA from 1 species
CAGUUGGUCAAAUGUAUUCUUCUCAUCUCAGUUCCUUUUAUACAGGAAACUAAUAUAGCUCAGAGUCCAGGGAUGAAGGCUUUAAACCUGGAGGGUGCCUGGUGCUUCCUGAGAAUCUCAUGGGGGAAAUGAUUCAGCUGUCUACGUCACUGGGGAAGGACAACUGAAGCUUUGGGAUUGGGGAGAUCUGAAUGUGCAGGCUAAAGGACAAGGAAAGAAAAGCAAUGGAUGAAGACUUCUGUUGUGGAUCAGAGCUGCUAUUGACCAGGUACCAGCAAGCAAAUCCAUGAUAAGUAUUUGUAUCUCCACUUUGGAUGCCCAAGAGACAUUGAUAGCUUUUGAGCCAAUCAUCUGUUGGGCUGACCCAAAAAAUAACCUCACUGGAGUAGGAACCUUGUCCUUCUCUCAUCUUCCUACUGUUUGAUAAUUCAUACGGAGGUUACUGCCAGAGUAAACUGAAAUUGGAGGUGGUUUAUGUUAAUGCUGCAGCCUGUAGACUGCACUUGCUCAGGAGUUUAUCCAGGAGGAUCAGCUGAUCCCGCUGCAGGAUGGUGACCUCUGGCAGAGACACAGGACAGAGACAGCUGCUUCAGCUCUCCCAGAUAAACCUGCUUAAGGCGUUACACCUGGGUGUCUUCAUAUGAAGAAUGCAUAUCACGGUCCUGCUCUGAUGAUAUAGGCUCAGUGAAAUGAAGAAGACAAGCAAGUUUUCUGCUGUUAUACACCAUGGAAAGUGGAUACACAGGUUCCUUCUGAGCCCUAAUGAAGAAGUCUGGAGCUGGAAACACAACAUUUUGAUGUGCAAUAUGGCACGUUUAAGAAGCUAGCUCAACAUGUCCACAAUCUCAAAUGGAAAUGCAUUGCUGUGUGUCCAUUUCUGAAGUUCUGACUACUGUAGCAGUCCACUGCAGCGGGCGGUACAUGGCCAUGUGUCACUGUUACGGAGGUGCUGCCGUCGUGGAGUUCUCAUGAACUUCCAGCAAUGACUCCAUAUGGGAAUAAUUUCAUUGUGAGAAGAAGGCUUCCA